rnacentral:rRNA from 2 species
GACGGGGACCCGCACAAGCAGCGGAGCAUGUGGUUUAAUUCGAAGCAACGCGAAGAACCUUACCAGGGCUUGACAUCCCUCUGACCGGCCGGUUAACCGCGGGCCCUUCUCUUCGGAGCAGAGGUGACAGGUGGUGCAUGGUUGUCGUCAGCUCGUGUCGUGAGAUGUUGGGUUAAGUCCCGCAACGAGCGCAACCCUUGUCAUUAGUUGCCAUCAUUUAGUUGGGCACUCUAAUGAGACUGCCGGGGACAACUCGGAGGAAGGUGGGGAUGACGUCAAAUCAUCAUGCCCCUUAUGUUCUGGGCUACACACGUGCUACAAUGGCCGGUACAGAGAGAAGCAAUACUGUGAAAGUGGAGCAAAACUCUAAAACCGGUCCCAGUUCGGAUUGUAGGCUGCAACUCGCCUACAUGAAGUCGGAGUUGCUAGUAAUCGCGAAUCAGAACGUCGCGGUGAAUGCGUUCCCGGGUCUU